GAUGAACGCUGGCGGCGUGCUUAACACAUGCAAGUCGAACGAAGCACCUUGAUUCGAUUCUUCGGAUGAAGAUCUUGGUGACUGAGUGGCGGACGGGUGAGUAACGCGUGGGUAACCUGCCUCAUACAGGGGGAUAACAGUUAGAAAUGACUGCUAAUACCGCAUAAGACCACAGCACCGCAUGGUGCAGGGGUAAAAACUCCGGUGGUAUGAGAUGGACCCGCGUCUGAUUAGGUAGUUGGUGGGGUAACGGCCUACCAAGCCGACGAUCAGUAGCCGACCUGAGAGGGUGACCGGCCACAUUGGGACUGAGACACGGCCCAAACUCCUACGGGAAGCAGCAGUGGGGAAUAUUGCACAAUGGGGGAAACCCUGAUGCAGCGACGCCGCGUGAGCGAUGAAGUAUUUCGGUAUGUAAAGCUCUAUCAGCAGGGAAGAAAAUGACGGUACCUGACUAAGAAGCACCGGCUAAAUACGUG
rnacentral:rRNA from 1 species